rnacentral:rRNA from 1 species
GUGCCAGCAGCCGCGGUAAUACGUAGGGGGCGAGCGUUGUCCGGAUUCAUUGGGCGUAAAGCGCGCGUAGGCGGCUUCGCAAGUCGGCCGUGAAAUCUCCGGGCUCAACUCGGAGGGGUCGGGCGAGACUGCGAGGCUCGAGGUGGGCAGAGGGCAGUGGAAUUCCGGGUGUAGUGGUGGAAUGCGUAGAGAUCCGGAGGAACACCAGUGGCGAAGGCGGCUGCCUGGGCCUGGCCUGACGCUGAGGCGCGAAAGCGUGGGGAGCAAUCCGGAUUAGAUACCCGUGUAGUCC